CAGAGGCUCACAAGGUCUGAGAAACAUUCAAAUCUCUUGAUUCCAGCUGGCCCCUGAGCUCUGUGACUGGAGGGCCACAGCCCAGAAUCAAUGGUGGUUUCUCUGGUUCCUCAGGGUAAGGGUCAGUCUGUUUAAAAGGGAGCAGUCUUCUCUUGCCCUGUUGAUUUGCAGUCUCCUGGACAGUAUGUUGAGAAGCUAAGCCCUUCUUCCUUCAAGUUCAGUCAAGUGUGUAGCCUGAAGAUAGCAAAUUAUACAAUGGUCCUGGAAGAUGAGUAUGAUGUCCUCAUACAGGAUGAUCUGGAGAACAGUGAUGUGCAACAACAUGACAGAUACAACACCAGGCCCCUGUCAGCCUGGAACAUGUGCAGGACAAGAACAGCUACAACCUGGACACAAGUGUUCAUGUCACACAGAUUAUUGCUACCACUCACUGCUGUGUUCUUGAUGGGGACUUUAGGAAAUAUCUCUGUAGUUGUUACCAAAGUGUAAAGACAUUGAUGUUUACUCUGAAGUAGCUAGACCAAGGGAGGGUUAUGUCUGUUCUGCUGUACUAUAAACUAUUUUAUAUCAAAGACACAGGCAAAUAAACACUGAUUUUUGUCUGCAUCGAUUCAUGUAAUUUUUUGUACAUUUUGAACAAUAUAGUACAUAAGGAGAAAAUGGAGGCAUGAGCAAGUAUUUGUCAGGUAUUAAAUUCAUCGCAGACAUGACUCUAAACAUUGUGAUGUGAGCACCUUCAUUCCUCACUACUUGUCCAUACUGUGAGUGGUAUCAGUCUCAUUUCUCUGAAUAGAAACUGAAGCCCAAAAGUUAGUCUAAAGUCAUGUGCUUUCGAAGUGGUAGGACUCAGACAAUCCCAUGAACCAUUUGCUCCAGAGACUAUACUUUACCUAUGCCUGCAAAGUUU